CGCCUCCUUCUGCGAGGACUCCAGCUCCGACUGCGACUCCUCGUACUUUUGCUUCCACUCGGCCAGGAUCUGCGGGGACCCAAUGGACGGAAGGGGCUCAAGGGGCAGCUCCGGCCCCACCUCCGGGACCCAGCGGCCUCUGGGUGGCAGUCUCCACCCCUCCCCACCCAGGCUGAUCGGCGGUAGCUCCUCUGACCAACAAGCUUUUUGCUCGUCUUAUACGUGAGCAUCAGGGAAGGAGUGAUGUUUGGGUGUGGCUUAGCUGAAGAGUAGAAGAACCUGGUCUGAAAGUCUUUCUAUUUCAGAGGCCCAUCUGUAGUCUCCAGCCUCACUCCAGCCUCCAUUCCUGAGCUGCCUCUUGAGGUCCUCCAGCUGCUGGGUGUAGGACAGCUUCCCUCGGGUCAGCUGGGAGAUCAGUGCCUCCUUUUCCUCCAGCUGCCGGGACAGCUCACCUGCAGCUUCGCCCGGUACUCAUUGGCCUGGUCCUCCAGUGUCCGGGACAUCUUCUCCAGCUUCUGCUUCACGCGCUGCAGGUUGUCGAUCUGCUCGCCCAGCUCGGCCACGCUGUCGGCGUGCUUCUUGCGCAGGGCAGCCGCCGUGGCCUCGUGCUGCAGCGUGGCCUCCUCCAGGUCCCGCCUCAUC